AGGGAAUUUUCCACAAUGGGCGAAAGCCUGAUGGAGCAACGCCGCGUGCAGGAUGAAGGCCCUUGGGUCGUAAACUGCUUUUAUACGUGACGAUUAUGACGGUAGCAUAUGAAUAAGGAUCGGCUAACUCCGUGCCAGCAGCCGCGGUCAUACGGAGGAUCCAAGCGUUAUCCGGAAUUACUGGGCGUAAAGAGUUGCGUAGGUGGCAUUGUAAGCAAGUAGUGAAAGCGUUCGGCUCAACCGAAUAAACAUUACUUGAACUGCAAAGCUAGAGGAUGAGAGAGGUUAUUAGAAUUCCCUGUGUAGGAGUGAAAUCCGUAGAUAUAGGGAGGAAUACCGAUGGCGUAGGCAGAUAACUGGCUCAUUCCUGACACUAAGGCACGAAAGCGUGGGUAGCAAAC
rnacentral:rRNA from 1 species